GAUGAACGCUGGCGGCGUGCCUAAUACAUGCAAGUCGAGCGAAUGGAUUAAGAGCUUGCUCUUAUGAAGUUAGCGGCGGACGGGUGAGUAACACGUGGGUAACCUGCCCAUAAGACUGGGAUAACUCCGGGAAACCGGGGCUAAUACCGGAUAACAUUUUGAACCGCAUGGUUCGAAAUUGAAAGGCGGCUUCGGCUGUCACUUAUGGAUGGACCCGCGUCGCAUUAGCUAGGUGGUGAGGUAACGGCUCACCAAGGCAACGAUGCGUAGCCGACCUGAGAGGGGGAUCGGCCACACUGGGACGGAGAGACGGCCCAGACUCCGCCGGGAGGCAGCAGUAGGGAAUCUUCCGCAAGGGACGAAGGUCUGACGGUGCAACGCGGCGUGAGUGAUGAAGGCUUUCGGGUCGUAAAACUCUGUUGUUAGGGAAGAACAAGUGCUAGUUGAAUAAGCUGGCACCUUGACGGUACCUAACCAGAAAGCCACGGCUAACUACGUGCCAGCCGCCGCCGUAA
rnacentral:rRNA from 1 species